rnacentral:lncRNA from 1 species
GUUUUUAGAUAAUUAACAUCCAAUCUGUGUUGAUACAGAAAAUCAAAGAAAGUGGUGGCAAAAAGAAACGCAGAGGCGGAGAUGAUGGUGAUGAGGAGAUUGACAGAUACAUGGGAGUUAAGAACGGGAAAGUAUCGGGGAAGCUAUCAAAGAAGCCAAAGAGAAAAUGAGGAAUAUAUAAUUAAGCUACAUUAGUCCAAUUUUGACUUAAUUGACGAAUACAUUAGUUCUUUCAUUAUUCCUUGUUGGGCUGU